GUCUACGGCCAUGCCACCCUGAACAAGCCCGAUCCCGUCUGAUCUCGGAAGCUAAGCAGGGUCAGGCCUGGUUAGUACUUGGAUAGGAGACAACCUAGGAAGACCAGGUGCUGUAGGUG
rnacentral:rRNA from 1 species